rnacentral:rRNA from 1 species
AUUCAAAUCCUUUAACGAGGAUCUAGCGGAGGGCAAGUCUGUGCCAGCAGCCGCGGUAAUUCCAGCUCCGCAGGUGUAUAUCUAUGCUGCUGCGGUUAAAAAGCUCGUAGUUGGAUCUGCGUGCUCGGAACUGGUUGGCUCACUGAGUUCAAACUGGUCUCCGGCGCUUUAUUGGCUGGUUUUCCCUUGAUGCUCUUAACCGGGUGUCUUGGGUGGCUAGCACGUUUACUUUGAAAAAAUUAGAGUGCUCAAUACAGGCGUAAAGCCUUGAAUAGUGGUGCAUGGAAUAAUAGAAUAGGACCUCGGCUCUAUUUUGUUGGUUUUCGGAACGCGAGGUAAUGAUUAAGAGGGACAGACGGGGGCAUUCGUAUUGCGACGUUAGAGGUGAAAUUCUUGGAUCGUCGCAAGACGGACGACUGCGAAAGCAUUUGCCAAGAAUGUUUUCAUUAAUCAAGAACGAAAGUUAGAGGUUCGAAGGCGAUCAGAUACCGCCCUAGUUCUAACCGUAAACGAUGCCAACUAGCGAUUCGCAGGCGUUAAACAACGACCUUGCGGGCAGCUUCCCGGAAACGAAAGUGUUCGGGUUCCGGGGGAAGUAUGGUUGCAAAGCUGAAACUUAAAGGAAUUGACGGAAGGGCACCACCAGGAGUGGAGCCUGCGGCUUAAUUUGACCCAACACGGGAAAACUCACCCGGCCCGGACACCGUAAGGAUUGACAGAUUGAGAGCUCUUUCUUGAUUCGGUGGGUGGUGGUGCAUGGCCGUUCUUAGUUGGUGGAGCGAUUUGUCUGGUUUAUUCCGAUAACGAACGAGACUCUGGCCUACUAAAUAGUGGGCGGAUUCUUUCUGUCCGCAACACUUCUUAGAGGGACAAGCGGUGUUCAGCCGCACGAGAUUGAGCAAUAACAGGUCUGUGAUGCCCUUAGAUGUCCGGGGCUGCACGCGCGCUACACUGAAGGAAUCAGCGUGCUUUCUGACCUUGCCCGAAAGGGCUGGGUAACCCGAUGAAAAUCCUUCGUGAUUGGGAUAGGGACUUGCAAUUAUUUCCCUUGAACGAGGAAUUCCCAGUAAGUGUGGGUCAUAAGCUCGCGUUGAUUACGUCCCUGCCCUUUGUACACACCGCCCGUCGCUGCCCGGAACUGAGCCGUUUCGAGAAGAACAGGGACCGUCGUUGAAGGGCCUUAACGGGCUUUUCUCUGAUAGAAACUGUU